AUAGAUCUGAACGGGUCAAUGUGCGAUUAAUAAGACCAUGGUCUAGGUUGGUGACCUCCACUGCACUUUGGAGGAGUGCCUGCCUAAGGUCUGCCCAAGUGGUUGAUCCUACAUCAUACUUCGUUGUUGUGAAGAUCUGUGUUCGCGAUUAUUUACU
rnacentral:snRNA from 1 species